rnacentral:rRNA from 1 species
GAUGAACGCUGGCGGCGUGCCUAAUACAUGCAAGUCGAGCGGACAGAUGAGGCGCUUGCUCCUCUGACGUUAGCGGCGGACGGGUGAGUAACACGUGGAUAACCUACCUAUAAGACUGGGAUAACUUCGGGAAACCGGAGCUAAUACCGGAUAAUAUCUUGAACCGCAUGGUUCAAUAGUGAAAGACGGUUUUGCUGUCACUUAUAGCUGGAUCCGCGCCGCUUUAGCUAGUUGGUAGGGUAAAGGCUUACCAAGGCUACGAUGCGUAGCCGACCUGAGAGGGGGAUCGGCCACACUGGAACUGGGACACGGUCCAGACUCCUGCGGGAGGCCGCAGUAGGGAAUCUUCCGCAACGGGCGAAAGCCUGACGGAGCAACGCCGCGUGAGUGAUGAAGGUCUUCGGAUCGUAAAACUCUGUUAUUAGUGAAGAACAAAUGUGUAAGUAACUAUGCACGUCUUGACGGUACCUAAUCAGAAAGCCACGGCUAACUACGUG